rnacentral:rRNA from 1 species
UGAGGAAUAUUGGUCAAUGGACGAGAGUCUGAACCAGCCAAAUCGCGUGAAGGAAGACUGCCCUACGGGUUGUAAACUUCUUUUGUACAGGAAUAAAAGACAUUACGUGUAAUGUAUUGCAUGUACUGUACGAAUAAGCAUCGGCUAACUCCGUGCCAGCAGCCGCGGUAAUACGGAGGAUGCGAGCGUUAUCCGGAUUUAUUGGGUUUAAAGGGUGCGCAGGCGGGAUUUUAAGUCAGCGGUGAAAUUUUCAGGCUCAACCUGAACGCUACCGUUGAAUCUGGGUGUCUUGAGUAUGGAUGAAGUAGGCGGAAUUCGUUGUGUAGCGGUGACAUGCUUAGAUAUAACGAGGAACUCCGAUUGCGUAGGCAGCUUACUAAGCCAUAACUGACGCUCAAGCACGAAAGCGUGGGGAUCAAACAGGA